UCGAUAAGUCCACUAGUCACACGAGCGCGAAAAAUUUACGUAUGUCUGAUCAACAAAAAAAGAAUAAUGAUCGAAUUGCAAACAAAAGGGCACUUGAUAUAACUGAAGAAAAUCAUAGGGAUGCUGGCAAUAGCAAACGCUUUUGCAGCGAGAGCCUCUUUUGGCCAGACAGUGACGAGGAGAGUUUCUUCUCUAAUGCAAAGCUUGAGGAUCUUCUUAGCGGCCGAAAUGAGGAGCUCUUCGGAACACAGGCGCAGACGAGCAACAAACCAACGGAGUUGGAACGGAGUGAAUCGGACGAUGGCCUUUUUGCUGAUGUAUCAUUUCCCAGCACCCAGAGACCCCAGCAAGAGCAAGGACACGAAUGCAAUGCUGCAUCUAAAGAAAACCAGAUUGAUCUGGCGAUAGAGGAGGAUGCCGGCAGCCUGUUCAAGCAGAUCAAUCUGCUUGAUCUAAGCAUUGCUGAAAUGGAGGAUAUAUUCCACGGAGCCGAAGACUUCAGUGAACCAAUUGCUCAGAAUACACAACUUUUCCUCGAUGCAGUCGCAUUCAAAGUGCCCAACCCCAAGACCCCAGUGAAACCAGAGAAAUCGUUGCCUCCGGCCAGCGACGAGUCCAUGUCCACCAUUGAGGGUAUAGUGCAUGGCACGCAAUACGCGACCUGUGAGGAGCUUAAGAACCAAUCAAUACUCGACCCAAUCAAUUGGGAGACUCAAGCCUUUGCCGACUUUGAAGCGAAGAGCCUUUCCGAAUACGACUUUCCCAGCAAGGGCGACUUCUAUGGACUGCCGGAUAAGGUCAAGAAAAUGAUACUGGAACACAAGGGCAUCAAGAGCCUGUAUGAAUGGCAAGACGAAUGCCUAAAUUUACCGGCAAUACGGCAGCGAAAGAAUCUAAUCUACGCCCUUCCCACCAGCGGGGGAAAAACCCUAGUCGCGGAGAUUCUCAUGCUGCGCGAACUGCUGUGUCAGGAGCGCAAUGUGUUGUUCAUAUUGCCAUAUGUUUCGAUUGUCCAGGAGAAGGUCAGCGCCAUGUCGCCGUUUGCCAUUGACUUGGAUUUUAUUGUCGAUGAAUAUACGGCUGGCAAGGGAAAAUGCCCGCCAGAGCCUCGUCGCAAGAGGCGGAGCUUGUUUAUUGCCUCCAUCGAAAAAGGAGCCGUGCUGAUGGACAGCUUGAUAGAUGUCCAACGUCCCCAUGAAAUAGGCCUGGUGGUGGUCGAUGAGCUUCAUUUGAUUGGCGAACGCGGACGUGGUGCCACCCUUGAGGCGUUUCUCACCAAAGUAAUGUUUUUGAAUGCAAAUAUUCAAAUUGUGGGCAUGAGUGCAACGAUAGGAAACCUAAGCGAGAUUUCGGCCUUUCUCAAUGCCGAUGUCUAUACGCGCGGCUUUCGCCCCGUGGAACUGAAAGAGUACAUCAAAUGUGGCUCCGAUUUGUUGGAGAUCAACUCGGCUGGCCAUACCCUCGAAGAAAUAUUUGUCCCCAAUCGCACGCUCGACUUUAAUUACAGCGAAGCUGUGAAGCGUGCGGAUCCUGAUCAUUUGGCUGGCCUGAUCAGCGAAUGUGCCCCAGAGCAUUGCUGUCUGGUGUUCUGCCCCAGCCGUAAGAACUGCGAGAAUGUGGCCCUACUGCUGAGUCGCAUUGUGCCCAAGCAGAAGUUCUUCGAGCAUCGCCGCAGCGAGAAGGCUGAUCUCAUGGAUGCCUUGGACAAGAUUUGCGGCGUUCUUAGCCCUGUUCUGGCCAAAACUCUGCCCUACGGCAUUGCCUAUCAUCACUCAGGCUUAACCACCGACGAGCGCAGGUAUAUAGAGACUGCCUAUCGCUUUGGCGUCGUCACCGUCAUCUGCUGUACCUCCACCCUGGCUGCGGGCGUGAAUCUGCCAGCCAAGCGUGUCAUCAUCCGCGCUCCCUACGUGGGCCAGGAAUUCAUGACUCUGUGCAAGUACAAGCAAAUGGUAGGACGAGCCGGACGUGCUGGCUUGGGCGAGGCGGGCGAGAGUAUUCUGAUUGCCCAGAGCAAGGACAAUCUACAGGUUGGCCAAAUGCUCUUCUCACCAAUGGACAAGGCGCUCAGUUCGUUGUAUCAGCAGGAGGCCGUGGGACUGCAGUCGCUUAUUUUGAGCGUGAUUGGCCUUAAUCUUGCCGAAUGCCGUCGCGAUUUAAAUCGCCUGGUGAACAGCACUCUUCUUGCGGUGCAGGCCAAUGCCCUGGAGGUGGCCGUGGACGAGCUGGUUCUCCGCAUACUCCGCGAAAUGUUCAAGAACAAAGUGCUGCAGCUGACAGAGUCGCCGGCAGCCAAGCUAAAGAUGAACUGUACGGAUAUUAUUACCACACAGGAUGUGAACCAAAGCACUCGUCCCGCUGGCGAUCGCCGCCUAUUCAUUGGCCAGUCCACGCGCUUUAAGUUGACCAAUAUUGGACGGGCUGCCUUCAAGGCGGGCAUUGACUACAAGCGGGCCAGCGCCAUUCACCGCGAACUGAAGCAGGCCCAGAAGCAGCUGAUUCUCAACAGCUACUCGCAUCUCCUGUAUCUGGUGGUGUGCUUUAACUCGAAUGAGCGAGGUGAUGAGCUGUUCCCUGCCGAUGCCAGCAUUCUGUUCAACGUCUACUCCGCGCUGCGCACCGAAUCGCAGGCGCUGUUCAAGCAGCUCGGCUUCACCGAGGCGCAUGCGGCCAGGCUCUUCAAGACGCAGUCGGUGCAGGGUCCCAUGACCCAGCAACUGAAUCGCCUCUACAAAGUGCUUAUCCUGUCGGAUAUUCUGGAUCUCUUGCCGCUGCCGACAGUCUCUUGCAAAUACAACGUGGAGCGUGGCACUCUGCAGCACCUCAUCAGCCAGUCGAUUGCUGCCUCCAGUGCCCUUGUCCGGCUGUGCGACGAAAUGGAAGAGUUCUGGUGUUACAAGCCAUUGUUCGAACGCGUCCUUCACAAAAUGGAUCGCUGCGGCACGGUAGAACUAGAGCCACUCAUGGAGCUGCCUGGUGUUAAAAUUAAUCGCGCCAAGCAGCUAUAUGCAGCGGGCCUUAGAACCAUCGAGGAUAUAGCCAAGAUACGACCCAUGACUUUAGUGCAAACUGUAGAGCAUAUGCCUUUGAGAGUGGCUACGGAAAUCGUCUCAGCAGCAAAGAUCAUUUUGAUGAAAAAACUUGAUCAUUUGGAGGAGGAAACGGAGAAUCUAAAAGUCUGCCUGCGCUCAAAUGAUUAGGAAUAGGUUUAACCCACAGAUUCGAGAUUCAGAGACUCACAGACUCCAAAAAGAGCAGACCGGAGAGCACGACAAUAAAUUGUCUGAGUCUCGAUGAGCAGGUCCCACCCGUAUUGUCUUGGCCAAGUUCAAAUUCAAGGCUAAGCACGAUGACAAAUACCGAUGCAGUUCGGAUCUCUAUCUAACGGACAUAUAUAUCUACUUAAAAUAAUGAUCUAACAGAGAAAGACUUCUUCUACACUUGCCUCAAGCACAGAGCGGGAGAGAGAGGGAAGCCUCCCCAGAUUGACUGCCAACUCGGGACUGUCCAAUGGUCAGUGGUGCUCCUCCAUGGGCCACUGAGAGCUGAGAGAGCGUGUCCCUGACACGAGGUGAGUGCUUAGGCUGGAGGACAUUAGUUUUGGUCGCCGGGCCCGAGUGCAUCAUCGCAGCUGCUCGACCGAGUGUCUGGUCUGUCAUUGAGGCCCGGGGAAUGCCCCUGACUUGAAGCUGAUGGCUGAUGGUUGAUGGUUGAUGCUUGAUGGAGUUUGCUUUUAACGCUGACAAAGCCAGCAACCAAAGCUGGAACUUGUGGAUUCUCAUCUUAAGCGAUGACUAUGACUCUAUUUAAAUCGCUUUCACUCCCCAGCUUUUUAUACCUCAACAAAAAAAAACCCCUUUGAAUAAUUGGCUUUUAGCAUUGUAAGCGUUUAUUCAGCCAUAAAGAAUCCGCCAA